GCAGCUCAGUGGUGGAGCAUCUGCUUUGCAUGCAGAAGGUCCUAGGUUCAAUCCCUGGCAUCUCCA